UACGCAGGGUGCGAGCGUUGUCCGGAAUUAUUGGGCGUAAAGGGCUCGUAGGCGGUUUGUCGCGUCGGGAGUGAAAACCAGGUGCUUAACACCUGGCUUGCUUUCGAUACGGGCAGACUAGAGGUAUGCAGGGGAGAACGGAAUUCCUGGUGUAGCGGUGAAAUGCGCAGAUCUCAGGAGGAACACCGGUGGCGAAGGCGGUUCUCUGGGCAUGACCUGACGCUGAGGAGCGAAAGCAUGGGGAGCGAACAGG
rnacentral:rRNA from 1 species